rnacentral:rRNA from 1 species
UACAGAGGUCUCAAGCGUUGUUCGGAAUUACUGGGCGUAAAGCGUAUGCAGGCGGAUCGUUAAGUCGGGGGUGAAAUCCCGAGGCUCAACCUCGGAACUGCCUUCGAUACUGGCGACCUUCGAGUCCGGGAGAGGUGAGUGGAACUCCGAGUGUAGAGGUGAAAUUCGUAGAUAUUCGGAAGAACACCAGUGGCGGAAGGCGGCUCACUGGCCCGGUACUGACGCUGAG